AUGGCGAGCCUCGGCGGCCUCCAGCCAGCGCGGGGCGCCGCCGCCGCCGUGCACCCGGAGCCCCUGCUCGCCCGCGCCCGCGCAGCUCCGGGUCGCGAAUGGCCCAGCCCGCGCAGGCCCCGCUUUUAUACCCUGCAGUCCGAGUCGCCCCCUAGAGUCCGAGGCGGCCUCUGUCCCCUGGCGGCGGCGGCGGCGGCGCGGGGUCCGCUGGGUCCUAGCGCGCAGACGGAGGGUGGGGGCGAACCAGGGUGGAGCGGGGCGGAGGGCAAGUCUUGGUCUCGAGCUACUGUGGUGCGGACUCGCUUUCAAAGCUUGAACCAGGCCAGGCCUGUCUGGGACCCGUGUCCCUGGGAGGCUGCGGCGCUGAGCGACCGGGCCGGCGGGGGGCCAGUGGGGGGUCGUUGGGACGCGCGGAGAGGCCCGGAGCGCGGUGACUCUGCGUCUCCUAGCUCUGAUCUGCAGGCGACCCCUGUGAUUCCGCGCAGAGGCACCUCUCCGAGGACGCCGGGAUCCCAUGAGCGGGCGCCGCAGGGCGCUAGGACCCCGCGGGGAGCAGAGGCGGCCCGGGAGUCUGGAGGAUCUGGCCGGUCGAUCCGCCCCGGCUGGAAAACUUUCUUCGUAAUUAUUUCUCCAGCCCGGAGCGCUCGGCUGCCUAGGCGCGCGGGGCCGGCGCUACUACUCGGCUUGGUGUUGCUGAUUUUUUUCUUGCCGGAUGGGCGGGCUCCCGGGACAAGCUGAGCUGGACGCCGGGGCGAGCACGGGGAGGGGCGCACCGAGGGAGGAGACUAACUUAACUCCCGGCCGGGAUCCCUCGAGACGGGGACCGUAGCCCGCGAGGCCCGAAGCCACGGCUUCCUCCCCCAACUCCCUGUUCAGGUGGACGCCUACGGCUGGAGCGAGGGUGUCCAGGUCGCCAGGUCCGAGCACCCACAGGGAGAACUCUGCCCUGUGGUUCGCUGGACGCUGGGGUCCCCGGGAUCUUGGGUGCCGUGGCCGCCGGGCCCUGGAGCCCCUUAGGUGCGGCACGCUGACCCUCUCACCGCGGCGGGGGAAGGAGCUUGCUACAGAGACCCCCAGCCAUGUGCGUCCCUCGCUUUCUUUACCGCAGCCGGGUUGGGGAUUGCGGACUGUCAGCUGGGCCCCAACGGGGUCUUGGGGGCCCUCAAGUGUCUCCUGCCCCUGCCCGCGCCGCCCGUCGGGACUGGCGCUGAGGCCAGACGCCGCCUGGGUCCCGGCUAGAGGCUCGCUUGCCUUCAGGUGAGGGAAGACCCCUUCGCCGACUGUGGCCUUCUUAGGCCUGGCAAGGCGCCACUACCCGCCCAGGAGCCUCCGAGGGGGUGCAGUUAAAAACACUGCUGGAGAGGCUCCGAGCUUCCAUAGCGAUUGCAGUAAAGAAGCAGUUUCAUCUGGGCAAUGCACACUGUGCUUUAAUCAAGUUCCUAUUCAACAUAUUCCCAGUGAUUAAUAGCCCAACUGCUUCGUUUUCGGUCCAGAGCUCAUAAACAAGAUAUUUUUAGCUUGACGCUUUUGGACGGGAGGGAGUAAAAACUAGAUAAGUUAAAUAAAUAACCCGAUCUGAGCCGAAGAGCUGCUUGCUGAGCCAAAUACAGGACCGGUUCAUACACCAUCCACCUGUGGAGGGAGACCUGGACAAAAUCAAAAAAACACCCAGAGCGACUUGCAUUUUUAUUCUGCGGUGCUAAAACUAAUGGCUUUUCCUAGGUAGUAACAAAGAAUCUCCACUGUACAUGCACGAUUCCUGGCCCGUGCAGUGCAGGGAGGAAGGCCAUGUCUGGCCUCUUUUGCACAGCUUGCUGUUGCCUGCCCAGAGAUCAAGAACUCUGCCGCUUAGGGCCGGAAGAAACCUCAGUAUGGGGAUAAGAUUGUCCAAUAAGGGGCUGAUGAAUGUGUGGGGGUGAAAAUGGCAAGCAGUGGGGCUCCCCCCCUGGGAGUCUCCAACCCCAAGGGCCCUAGGUCCUCCUACAAUUGAACCAGAAUUCACCCACCCCGGCCUGCCCUGUGCAGGGUGCUGAGAGCCCAGGGAUGCGUGAGAAGGUGGUCCCUGCCUCUGGGAACUGGGACAGUGGGAGAGACUAAUAAAGUGUCACACAGAGGCUGCUGGGAGGAAGGAGGACACAGAAGGAGUAGGGGAUGAGACCUCAUUCAUUCAUCAAAUGCACAGGAGGCACGAAUGGGAAUAAAGGGUGGAUGUGCUGUGAUGAAUAGAUGCCCUGCCCUGAAUAAGGUGGCGCUGUGGAGGAGGCAGAGAUCAGAUCUGUCUGGGGAGGUCCUGUGGAUGGAAUUGUGUCCCUGCCCCAAAUUCCUAUGUUGAAGCCCUAACCCCCAAUGUGACUAUUUGGAGAUAGGCCUUUUAGGAAGUAAAGUGAGAUGAAGUCAUAA